rnacentral:lncRNA from 1 species
CGAUCAGCAGCUUGGUGGCGUUGUCCAGCUCCUGGAUGGAGAGGAGACUGCUUCCCCAGCUCUCGUGAUUCUCCUCGCUGCGCCCAAAGUCCCACACGAUUCGCCCAAGAACAAGUACGUGAUCUCUGCCUCGCUUGCGAUUCCAGUGACGAUUUCCUUGCAGGUAUCCCAGCAACCUCUGGCCGAGCUUGUCACGCAUCUGGACUUGCUUGGUGAAGAGGUACUGCGACACAUCCAAGCCCGCGUAGUAUGGAAUGUAGAAGAGAUUGGCGAGGUGG